rnacentral:rRNA from 1 species
CGCGUAGGUGGCUAAUUAAGUCAAAUGUGAAAUCCCCGAGCUUAACUUGGGAAUUGCAUUCGAUACUGGUUAGCUAGAGUAUGGGAGAGGAUGGUAGAAUUCCAGGUGUAGCGGUGAAAUGCGUAGAGAUCUGGAGGAAUACCUAUGGCGAAGGCAGCCAUCUGGCCUAAUACUGACGCUGAGGUACGAAAGCGUGGGGAGCAAACAGGAUAAGAUACCCUCGUA